ACUGUCAUAGCUCAGUUGGGAGAGCAGCAGACUUCUUCCUUAGAGAUUCGACAAUCUGAAGGUCCGGUGUUCAAGCCACCGUGAUGCCA